rnacentral:rRNA from 1 species
UUCGCAAUGCCCGAAAGGGUGAACGAGCGACGCCGCGUGCGGGAUGAAGGGUUUCGGCUUGUAAACCGCUUUUCUUUGGGAAGAAGGUCUGUCUCGUGCGGAUGGGCUCGACGGUACCAGAGGAAUAAGCCUCGGCUAGCUCCGUGCCAGCAGCCGCGGUAAGACGGAGGAGGCGAGCGUUGUUCGGAAUUAUUGGGCGUAAAGGGCGCGUAGGCGGAUCGGUAAGUCUGGCGUGAAAUCUCCACCGCUUAACGGGGAGAGGUCGCUGGAAACUACCGAUCUGGAGUUCGGCAGAGGACCAUGGAAUUCCAGGUGGAGCGGUGGAAUGCGUAGAUAUCUGGAAGAACACCGGUAGCGAAGGCGGUGGUCUGGGCCGAAACUGACGCUGAGGCGCGAAAGCCAGGGGAGCAAACGGGAUUAGAUACCCCGGUAGUCCUAGCCGUAAACGAUGGGCACUAAGUAGAGGGGUUUU